rnacentral:tRNA from 1 species
GUUUCCGUAGUGUAGCGGUUAUCACGUCUGCUUCACACGCAGAAUGUCCCCGGUUCGAUCCCGGGCGGGAACA